UAUGUGAUCGUCUCUCGCAUAUCAAUAAGCGGAGGAAAAGAAACUAACAAGGAUUCCCCUAGUAACGGCGAGUGAAGCGGGAAGAGCUCAAAUUUGAAAUCUUAAAGGGUUUCCCUUUACGAAUUGUAGUUUAAAGAAGUGUUUUCUGUUGAGGUUUUGGUAAAAGUUCUUUGGAAUAGGACAUCAUAGAGGGUGAGAAUCCCGUAUUUGACCUUUACUUUCAACUUUGUGAUACACUUUCAAAGAGUCAGAUUGUUUGGGAAUGCAGUCCAAAAUGGGUGGUAAAUUUCAUCUAAAGCUAAAUAUUGGCGAGAGACCGAUAGCGAACAAGUACCGUGAGGGAAAGAUGAAAAGAACUUUGAAAAGAGAGUUAAACAGUACGUGAAAUUGUCAAAAGGGAAGCGUUUGACACCAGUGUUGUUUUUCUGAAAAUCAAUUAAAGAACUGUUUAUGCUAAGUUGUUUAGACUUUAUCAGCUAACUGUUUAGUUUUGAGCUUUUCUUUAAUGCACUUUUCAGUUAACAAGUCAACAUCAAUUUCUUUUGCUGUAAAAAAGCUUGAGGAAGGUGGCUUGAGAUUCGUCUUAAGUGUUUAUAGCCUCUUGCCUAUGCAGUCGGAGAGAUUGAGGUCUGCAGCGUAGAUCCUUCGGGGCUAAAUGCAUUUGUGCUAAGUUGUAGCAUUUUAUAGACAACUUGUUGACUAUGAUUUGUCUUGUAGCUUACUCGCUUAUGUUAUUUUACCUACGCUUAGGAUGUUGACUGAUAUGUAGUCGUA
rnacentral:rRNA from 1 species